UAUACUAUCUAACUAGAGGCUAUGUGGCGACAUUCUAUAGGACCUCCAAUAAGUGUUGACUUUGUAGGACACAUGCCUUGACUUACAAGGCAAGUUAUUCUAUGUGUAGGCCACAAUGUAAGCUUGGUCUUCAAGCUAACAUGUGUGGCACAUGGCCAACUUAUUGACCAUGUUUUUAAUCCAAAAAGUCAAUUAAAGACACCUAUAAAAUCAAAGCA
rnacentral:lncRNA from 1 species